UUAUUCAUGUAGGAAUUUCUUUGGGUCCUGCUCGUUGUGGUAUUUAUAUAUAAGGACAUUUGGAGUCUAUUGGGACAAAUACUGAUAAUUACAGAUUUUUACAGGGAAUUUGUUUAUACACCCACCUGUUAUUGUUCAACCCACUUGGGGAACCCAGGUGCACACAAAUUGGUGGGGUUUAUAAGUCUGAAUGGGGGUGGACUACAUCUAAGCUCUUCUUCGAAAAAGUCCUGAGGAAGAAACCGGUCGGACACAUACGGAGCCUCUAUAACUCUCUCUUCACUCUAUUUAGGACAUUCUUAUCCAGAACUUACUCCUUUAUUACCCCUUGCAAUCCGUAACCUUGGUGCAUUCAGGAGCUGACUCA